rnacentral:rRNA from 1 species
GACGAACGCUGGCGGCGUGCUUAACACAUGCAAGUCGAACGAUGAAGCUAGAGCUUGCUCUGGUGAAUUAGUGGCGAACGGGUGAGUAACACGUGAGUAACCUGCCCCGAACUCUGGGAUAACUGCUGGAAACGGUAGCUAAUACUGGAUACGACCUACGAAGGCAUCUUCUGUAGGUGGAAAGAAUUUCGGUUCGGGAUGGACUCGCGGCCUAUCAGCUUGUUGGUGAGGUAAUGGCUCACCAAGGCGACGACGGGUAGCCGGCCUGAGAGGUGACCGGCCACACUGGGACUGAGACACGGCCCAGACUCCUACGGGAGGCAGCAGUGGGGAAUAUUGCACAAUGGGCGCAAGCCUGAUGCAGCAACGCCGCGUGAGGGAUGACGGCCU